rnacentral:rRNA from 1 species
UACGUAGGGCGCAAGCGUUAUCCGGAAUUAUUGGGCGUAAAGAGCUCGUAGGCGGUUUGUCGCGUCUGCCGUGAAAGUCCGGGGCUCAACUCCGGAUCUGCGGUGGGUACGGGCAGAGUAGAGUGAUGUAGGGGAGACUGGAAUUCCUGGUGUAGCGGUGAAAUGCGCAGAUAUCAGGAGGAACACCGAUGGCGAAGGCAGGUCUCUGGGCAUUAACUGACGCUGAGGAGCGAAAGCAUGGGGAGCGAACAGG